AUGUUUUGUUUUGCAUUAAAUCAUUUUUGUUUGUUCAAUCUUGCAGAUGAAUUUAAGCCAGCAUCUAUUGACAAGACUCAAGCUGGCUCUCUGCAGAAGAGCAAAGAUAACCGGGUAACUGUGGAAUUUCAUAACAAUCAGCCUGGCAGGCCAAAGGUGGCAUUCGAGGGAAGCCAAGAAGAGUACAAGGAUAAUGAUGGUGUCUUGUUUUUUGAUGGUGAGACCUUUCGCUUGGAACGAUUGCACCGGGCAGUCAAGAGAUUAAGGCAUGUCCGGGUUCCGGGAGAGUCUGUAGCAACUUCCUUGGCAGCUACAACUACUGGAAUGGGUGAAUCUCAUUCUCCUCCAUUAGCGAAAGUUGGCAAGUUGCCUGCAACGAGCAAACCUUCUAUACACUCAGUUCCGGUUGAGGUUGAGCACAUUGACAUUGGUGAACCUGAAAAUCCAGGACGAAGAAACAGUAACAGGAGCUCUACAUAUCAACCAGUCACCACAGACCCAUUUUCCUCUUCGCCUGAUCCCAAUGACCAAGAUGAAAACCUAGACAUACUCGGUGAUGAUGACAAUGGCUCACCCAAUAAUAUGGCCUCAGCACAAGGGACGUCUUAUCGUGGUUUUGACAUCAACUUGCCAAAUCAGCUCGACAUGGAUGAUGAGGUUGCUGAUGUUGAUGUAAAUGACGAAGCUGAGGAGGGACUUAAUGCAGCUGAGGCGCUGCGAGCUCAAGUCAAUGCAGAAGGACAGCAGGUGGAGCAGGCCACCUCUAGUUCAAGUGGAAGCAGCAGCGGCAGCGGGAGCGGAAGCGGGAGCGGCAGCAGCACCAGUGGUAGUGACGGCAGUGAUGGCGAUUCACCCAGCUCCGGAGGGGAUGUUGAUAUAUGA
rnacentral:rRNA from 1 species